rnacentral:rRNA from 1 species
AUUGAACGCUGGCGGCAUGCUUUACACAUGCAAGUCGAACGGCAGCACGGACUUCGGUCUGGUGGCGAGUGGCGAACGGGUGAGUAAUACAUCGGAACGUGCCCAGUUGUGGGGGAUAACUACUCGAAAGAGUAGCUAAUACCGCAUGAGAACUGAGGUUGAAAGCAGGGGAUCGUAAGACCUUGCGCAACUGGAGCGGCCGAUGGCAGAUUAGGUAGUUGGUGGGAUAAAAGCUUACCAAGCCGACGAUCUGUAGCGGGUCUGAGAGGACGGCCAGCCAAACGGGGACUGAGACACGGCCCAGACUCCUACGGGAGGCAGCAGUGGGGAAUUUUGGACAAUGGGCGAAAGCCUGAUCCAGCAAUGCCGCGUGCAGGAUGAAGGCCUUCGGGUUGUAAACUGCUUUUGUACGGAACGAAAAGCUUCGGGCUAAUACCCUGGAGUCAUGACGGUACCGUAAGAAUAAGCACCGGCUAACUACGUGCCAGCCGCCGCGGUAACAC